GUUGUUUUCUCGAAAAUCAAUUAAAAAUGGUGGGAUUUUGUGUUGUAUUGACUUUAUCAGCUUUCUGCACUUUUUUCCUAUCUUUUUUAAUGCACUUUUCGUUUAACAAGUCAACAUCAAUUUCUUUUGCUGUAAAAGAGUCAUUGGAAGGUGGCUUUCUUUUCGGAGAAAGUGUUUAUAGCCUUUGACUUCUGCAGUCGGAGAGAUUGAGGUCUGCAGCGUAGAUCCUUCGGGGUUAGAUACAUUUGUGCUAAGCUAUAGCCUUUCAUAGACAACUUGUUGACUAUGAUCAGUCAUGUAGCUUACUCGCUUAUGCUAUUUUACCUAC
rnacentral:rRNA from 1 species